GACGAACGCUGGCGGCGUGCUUAACACAUGCAAGUCGAACGGAAAGGCCCUGCUUUUGUGGGGUGCUCGAGUGGCGAACGGGUGAGUAACACGUGAGUAACCUGCCCUUGACUUUGGGAUAACUUCAGGAAACUGGGGCUAAUACCGGAUAGGAGCUCCUGCUGCAUGUUGGGGGUUGGAAAGUUUCGGCGGUUGGGGAUGGACUCGCGGGUUAUCAGCUUGUUGGUGGGGUAGUGGCUUACCAAGGCUUUGACGGGUAGCCGGCGUGAGAGGGUGACCGGACAAAAAGGGAAUGAGGGACGGGAGAGAAUGGUAGGGGAGGCAGGAGAGGGGAAGAUUGCAAAAUGGGCGGAAGAAUGAGGGAGAAAAGAAGGGAGGGGGAUGAGGGCCUGCGGGUUGUAAACAGAUUGAGACUGAGACGAAGAGGGAGUGAGGGGAAUGGGUAAAGAAGCACCGGGUAACUACGUG
rnacentral:rRNA from 1 species